rnacentral:misc_RNA from 1 species
GUUUAAUUAUUAGAAUUUAUAAAUCAGAAUCAGUUGUAGUGUUUCAAAUCGAUAAAUGCUUCAAGCAGCUCAACAACCUGAAGAAGUUACAGCCGGUAUCCGUUGGCUCGUCACCUAAAAAUUUCAUUGCUUCUGUCAUUGACAAAUUAAACAGGAAUAGACGGGGAGCAUCAACUAUAUAACCAUAUGCAGCAGUCAUCGUCCGAAACUAUAGAGGACAGCUGGCUCAUGGGGUAACCCGUAAGGUGGCCUAUUCUUCGGUCUUUGUUGGUGAAGCAGCAGCAUUGGUAACAGCUAUUCAGUUGGCAAGCAGCAUGGGAGCUAUAUCUGUUAUUCAGGAAUCAGAUUCUACCUUCCUCGUUGAUUGCCUUGAGACUCCAAUUCCAAAUUUGCAUUAUAGAUGGGAAUGUCAAGCUUCUCUUCAGACAACUUCCUAGCAUUGUCAUCGUUUACCCAGGGCCCCUUUCAUUGGUGAAGCGCCCAGCAAACAAACCUGUAGAUUGUCUGGCUAAGCUUGCCUUCAAGGGUAAACUUCCACGUGAUUGGCUUCAAGCCAUUCCUUUGUUGUUUUCUCAUGCCUCUUUGGCAUUUGAGAAAUAUAUGUGUCACCAAAAAUGGUGAAAAAUCUCCCAAAAUGCAAUGCCAUUGAAGCCUAUUUCUCUGUGCAAAGGGCAUGCAUGGCACACCGCGAAGGAUCUCACAAGACGGUGAUUGGCUUGCUGUGCAAUACAAUGCCAGCUAAAUUUGAUGUUCCAUAUGUUAUCUCAAUUACAGUACAGAAUGAAAAACAAAAAAUUCACAAAAUAUUAAAGCCAUCAGAAAAGCAAAACUUAAGGCUUAUUUGCGUCUUCUGUUUGUGACCAACUCUGGAUUGCCUUUUCUCAUCAUGGCU